rnacentral:rRNA from 1 species
UACGUAGGGUGCGAGCGUUAAUCGGAAUACUGGGCGUAAAGCGUGCGCAGGCGGUUAUGUAAGACAGGUGUGAAAUCCCAGGGCUUAACCUUGGAACUGCAUUUGUGACUGCAUAGCUAGAGUACGGUAGAGGGGGAUGGAAUUCCGCGUGUAGCAGUGAAAUGCGUAGAUAUGCGGAGGAACACCGAUGGCGAAGGCAAUCCCCUGGACCUGUACUGACGCUCAUGCACGAA